rnacentral:rRNA from 1 species
UACGUAGGGACCAAGCGUUGUCCGGAAUCAUUGGGCUUAAAGAGCGUGUAGGCGGCUUGUUAAGUCUUGCGUGAAAUCUCGGGGCUCAACCCCGAGCGGUCGUGAGAAACUGGCAGGCUAGAGUGCGGGAGAGGAGAGUGGAAUUCCUGGUGUAGCGGUGAAAUGCGCAGAUAUCAGGAAGAACACCCGUGGCGAAGGCGGCUCUCUGGACCGAGACUGACGCUGAGGCGCGAAAGCGUGGGGAGCAAACAGG